CAUUUAUUUCUUGAUGCAAGUAGACUCUUUGUAAGUGAUCAGUGGCAGCAGUGAGGAGGAAACAGCGUGACAUGUUGAGGACAGCUACAGUUCACUGACUCUGUGUGUUUGCAUAUGUGUCCUGCCUCUCUGCUCCCAGCCGUUAAGAGGCCAGUGUUGAUCAGUGGCUGUCCAGGCCUUUCAGAGACACUGGUACACCGGCAGCACAAUGAUGAUGUCACUGACUCUACUGCUGGCCACCCUGGGGCUCCUUGUUCAGGGUUCAUCAGGACAAAUCAUCCUGACUCAGUCUCCUGGAUCUCAGUCUGUUGUUCCAGAACAGACUGUCUCUAUCAGAUGUAAAACCAGUACAAGUGUUGGUAGCUACCUCAGCUGGUACCUUCAGAAAUCUGGAGAAUCUCCUACACUCCUCAUUUAUGAUUCUACAACAGUUCAAUCUGGAGUUUCAGAUCGUUUUACUGGAAGUGGUUCUGGCACUGACUUCACUCUGACCAUCAGAGGAGUCGAGGCUGAAGAUUCAGGAGCUGUCAGCAGGGUUACAUCCUACAAAAACCUCCCUCAGCUGGAGAGGAACUGAUCUGACUCAAUAGCUGCACUCAAACUAAAACAAACAGAACCUUGACUAAACUAAAAUAUAUUCAGUUAUAAUUGACUUUAAACAUUGUAACACUAAAUAUACUUUAUCUAAUUAUAAGUUAUACUGUAAUGUAUUUAAAUAAAAUAGGGUUUGAAACAUUCUGCUGCACAUCAAAGCUAACCUCUGUUGAAGUAUGAUUUCAAUUAUUUGAUAAGU